GCGCCAGCAUCCGCGGAGCCGCAAGGUGAAAUACCGCUCUGUUCUCGUUUGAUGUCUAACCUCGAACAGUCAUCCUGUUCAGGGACAGUGCCUGGCGGGUAGUUCAACUGGGGCGGUUGCCUCCCAAAGAGUAACGGAGGCGCUCAAAGGUCCGCUCGGCCCGGUUGGCAAUCGGGUGUCGAGUGUAAUCGCACAAGCGGGCUUGACUGCGAGAUCGACGGAUCGAGCAGGGACGAAAGUCGGAGAUAGUGAUCCGGUGCCGGCGCACGGGCGCGGCAUCGCUCAACGGAUAAAAGGUACCCCGGGGAUAACAGGCUGAUCAUUCCCAAGAGUCCAUAUCGACGGGAUGGUUUGGCACCUCGAUGUCGGCUCGUCGCAUCCUGGGGCUGGAGCAGGUCCCAAGGGUUCGGCUGUUCGCCGAUCAAAGCGGCACGCGAGCUGGGUUCAGAACGUCGUGAGACAGUUUGGUCUCUAUCCUCUGCGCUCGUUGGAAUCUUGAGGAGGCCUGCCCAUAGUACGAGAGGACCUGGGUGGACGAACCUCUGGUAUGCCGGUCGUCACGCCAGUGGCGCGGCCGGUUGGCUACGUUCGGAAGGGAUAACCGCUGAAAGCAUCUAAGCGGGAAGCCUUCUCCAAGAUAAGGAUUCCAUGCGGCCCCGAGCCGCUGAAGACCCCAUGCAGAACACGUGGUCGAUAGGCCGGACGUGGAAGCCCCGCGAGGGGUGGAGCCGACCGGUACUAAUGGUCGAGAGGCA
rnacentral:rRNA from 1 species